GCGGGGAAAGAAGACCCUGUUGAGCUUGACUCUAAUCUGACAUUGUGAAGUGACUUAGGAGGUGUAGCAUAAGUGGGAGCUUUGGUGAUCUUGAAAUACCACUACUCUUAACGUUACUUUACUUAUUCUGUUGUGCUCUGCCCUGCUCUGUGAGUGGGUUUUGGAUCCAAGGUUGCCUCCUUUGGCGGUCGAUCUGUGCGGAAGACAUUGUCAGGCGGGGAGUUUGGCUGGGGCGGCACAUCUGUUAAACGAUAACACAGGUGUCCUAAGGGGAGCUCAAUGAGAACAGAAAUCUCAUGUAGAACAAAAGGGUAAAAGCUGACUUGAUUUUGAUUUUCAGUACGAAUACAAACCGAGAAAUCGUGGCCUAUCGAUCCUUUCAGUUUUUGGAAUUUGAAGUGAGAGGUGUCAGAAAAGUUACCACAGGGAUAACUGGCUUGUGGCAG
rnacentral:rRNA from 14 species